rnacentral:lncRNA from 1 species
CCCCCAUUUCAGUAGGUCUUCAGAAGGAAUAAGUGCAUGAGACACAAGCCCUUGACUCUAAUGUGUCAGCCAUGGCUCCUGGAGUGUCCACAUGGAUCCAACAACUGGACUGAAGAAUGGGGCAGCCGCGCUGUAGUUCUGGCCCAGGAGGGGUAAUCCAAUUCACACCCACUGUGCACCAUGUCCAUCACACAUCACAGUGAGAGGACUGUGUUGAGGGCCUGGCACCAAGUUAGCACAUCUUCCGUGAGAAUGGUUAGAAGCUCUUGCCUUUCUCAUCCUCGUCCUGAUGACUUCCCACCAGAAACAUGAUGAAUUUAAUGGCCAGAAGCUGGACGUGGGAGAGAGCAACUUCCCUGGGGCGGCAGACUAAGUGCGGGGGCUCCGUGGAGACCUGCCGGGGGAGGUGCAGACACGGAAUGGAUAAUGAUCAGUUUUACAAAGGUAACAGCCAUGCUCUUUAUAAAAAUUCAAAUGUGACAGAGACAUAUAAUGGAGAAAUGUAA